rnacentral:tRNA from 2 species
ACUUGAAUAGCUUAUGAAGAGUAUAACAUUGAAGAUGUUAAGGAGAUAUCAUUAUCUUUAGGUA